rnacentral:rRNA from 1 species
UACGGAGGGGGUUAGCGUUGUUCGGAAUGACUGGGCGUAAAGCGCGCGUGGGCGGGCUGGAAAGUUGGGGGUGAAAUCCCGGGGCUCAACCCCGGAAUGGCCUUCAAAACUCCCAGCCUAGAGUUCGAGAGAGGUGAGUGGAAUUCCGAGUGUAGAGGUGAAAUUCGUAGAUAUUCGGAGGAACACCAGUGGCGAAGGCGGCUCACUGGCUCGACACUGACGCUGAGGUGCGAAAGCGUGGGGAGCAAACAGG